rnacentral:rRNA from 1 species
UACGUAGGGGGCAAGCGUUAUUCGGAAUUAUUGGGCGUAAAGGGCGCGUAGGCGGCUUUUCAAGUGACGGGUGAAAUCCCUCGGCUUAACCGGGGAACUGCGUCUGAUACUGGAUGGCUUGAGUUUGGGAGAGGGAUGCGGAAUUCCAGGUGUAGCGGUGAAAUGCGCAGAUAUCGGGAGGAACACCUAUGGCGAAGGCAGCUCGCUGGGACGUUACUGACGCUGAGACGCGAAAGCGUGGGGAGCGAACAGG